rnacentral:rRNA from 1 species
AGCGAACGCUGGCGGCAGGCCUAACACAUGCAAGUCGAACGAACCUUUCGGGGUUAGUGGCGGAAGGGUGAGUAACACGUGGGAACGUGCCUUUAGGUUCGGAAUAACUCAGGGAAACUUGUGCUAAUACCGAAUGUGCCCUUCGGGGGAAAGAUUAAUCGCCUUUAGAGCGGCCCGCGUCUGAUUAGCUAGUUGGUUGAGGUAAUGGCUCACCAAGGCGACGAUCAGUAGCUGGUCUGAGAGGAUGAUCAGCCACAUUGGGACUGAGACACGGCCCAAACUCCUACGGGAGGCAGCAGUGGGGAAUCUUGCGCAAUGGGCGAAAGCCUGACGCAGCCAUGCCGCGUGAAUGAUGAAGGUCUUAGGAUUGUAAAAUUCUUUCACCGGGGACGAUAAUGACGGUACCCGGAGAAGAAGCCCCGGCUAACUUCGUG